GAAGUGUUUGAUUUUGGCUUAAUUUUUUACGUUAUUAUUAAGGUUGUAUGAAAGUUAUAGCAUGCUUGAAAAAUUUAGUUUUAUAUUAAGUUAAGAGUAGUAAGUAAGUGAAUUAUAAGUUAUAUGAUCUCAGCAUAAAUUAUUAAAAUAAUAUACAAAAGUAUGAAUUAGUAAUAAUAUAAAAAUCUGAUGAAUAUUU
rnacentral:rRNA from 1 species